AGUGAACGCUGGCGGCAGGCCUAACACAUGCAAGUCGAACGGCAGCACGGCAGUAGCAAUACUGUGGGUGGCGAGUGGCGGACGGGUGAGGAAUACAUCGGGAUCUACCCUGUUGUGGGGGAUAACGUAGGGAAACUUACGCUAAUACCGCAUAAGAACUGAGGUUGAAAGCGGCGGACCGCAAGGCGUCGCGCGAUUGGAUGAACCGAUGUCCGAUUAGCUAGUUGGCGGGGUAAAGGCCCACCAAGGCGACGAUCGGUAGCUGGUCUGAGAGGACGACCAGCCACACUGGAACUGAGACACGGUCCAGACUCCUACGGGAGGCAGCAGUAGGGAAUAUUGGACAAUGGGCGAAAGCCUGAUCCAGCAAUGCCGCGUGAGUGAUGAAGGCCUUAGGGUUGUAAAGCUCUUUUACCCGAGAUGAUAAUGACAGUAUCGGGAGAAUAAGACUCCGGCUAACUCUGUGCCAGCAG
rnacentral:rRNA from 1 species